rnacentral:rRNA from 1 species
GACGAGGGGUCCUAGCGUUGUUCGGAAUCAUUGGGCGUAAAGCGUGUGUAGGCGGCCAUUCAAGUCAGUUGUGAAAUCCCCGGGCUUAACCCGGGAAGUGCUUCUGAUACUGUUUGGCUUGAGUACUGGAGAGGAUAGUAGAAUUCCUGGUGUAGUGGUGAAAUACGUAGAUAUCAGGAGGAAUACCGGUGGCGAAGGCGGCUUCCUGGACCUGUUCUGACACUGAGGAGCGAAAGCGUGGGGAGCGAUCCGG